GGAAAAGAAACUAACAAGGAUUCCCCUAGUAACGGCGAGUGAAGCGGGAUGAGCUCAAGCUUAAAAUCUCCGUACAAGUUUUGUACGGCGAAUUGUAGUCUAUAGAGGCGUGGUCAGCGUGGGCGCUUGGGGCAAGUUCCUUGGAAGAGGACAGCAUGGAGGGUGAUACUCCCGUUCAUCCCUGAGUGGUUCGUGCGUACGGCCCGUUUUCUUUGAGUCGCGUUGUUUGGGAAUGCAGCGCAAAGUAGGUGGUAAAUUCCAUCUAAAGCUAAAUAUUGGUGCGAGACCGAUAGCGAACAAGUACCGUGAGGGAAAGAUGAAAAGAACUUUGAAAAGAGAGUUAAAGAGUACCUGAAACUGCUGAAAGGGAACCGAAUCGUUUCCAGUGUCUAUAAUCCGUGGCAUAUUUCAUUGGCGAGUGUGUGCGUGCGUGUGCUGUGGCAGCGGCCUUUUGGCUGCGCUUGGCGCGUGUGGUGUGUGUGCUUGCUGGUGCCCUGUGCUGCGGUGGGACGUCAAUGUCAGUUCGUAUGCUGCGGGAAAUGGCUGCCGAGGAGGUAGGGCUUACGCUUGCGUUUGUCUGUUAUAUCUUGGUGGACGAGUCGUCGCGGUUGGGACUGAGGUGCCUACAACGUGCUUUUGAGUGGGUUUGUGUCUCCGUGUGUGCCGUGUGCGGAUAGCUUGCUAUGCGUGUGUGGUUAUGUGUGGAUUGAUACGGGCUUUAACUUGUUGCCGUUCGGGACGUUGACGAAAUGGAGCGAUCCGACCCGUCUUGAAACACGGACCAAGGAGUCUAACAUGUGUGCAAGUGUUAGGGUGUGGAAACCCCAGCGCGAAAUGAAAGUAAAGGGCAGCGCAAUCUGUCUGAGGUAGGAAACGUUGCGGGCUUCGGUCUGCAGCGUGGCACUAUCGACCGAUCAUGAACCUUCGUGGUGAAAGAUUUGAGUUUGAGCACAUAUGUUGGUACCCGAAAGAUGGUGAACUAUGCCUGAGUAGGGUGAAGCCAGGGGAAACUCUGGUGGAAGCUCGUAGCGAUUCUGACGUGCAAAUCGAUCGUCAAACUUGGGUAUAGGGGCGAAAGACUAAUCGAACCAUCUAGUAGCUGGUUCCCUCCGAAAUUUCCCUCAGGAUAGCAGCAACUUAUUUACGAUAGUUUUAUGAGGUAAAGCGAAUGAUUAGAGGAUUCGGGGAAGAAACUUCCUCGACCUAUUCUCAAACUUUAAAUCUGUAAGACCUGCAGGUUUCUUAAUUGAACUUGUGGAUG
rnacentral:rRNA from 1 species